rnacentral:rRNA from 1 species
UGGGAAGUCUUUCACAAUGGAGGAAACUCUGAUGCAGCGACGCCGCGUGAGCGAUGAAGCCUUCGGGUGUGAAGCAUCUUUCGACGGGAACGAUAAUGACGGUACCCGGAGAAGAAGCUGCGGCUAACUGCGUGCCAGCAGCCGCGGUAAUACGUAGGCAGCAAGCGUUGUUCGGAAUUACUGGGCGUAAAGAGUGUGUAGGCGGUGCUCUAAAGUUCGGUGUGAAAAUCUCCCGGCUUAACUGGGAGGGUGCGCCGGAAACUGGAGUGCUUGAGCGCGGGAGAGGAAAGCGGAAUUCCUGGUGUAGCGGUGAAAUGCGUAGAUAUCAGGAGGAACACCUGUGGUGUAGACGGCUUUCUGGACCGUAGCUGACGCUGAGACACGAAAGCGUGGGUAGCAAACAGGAUUAGAUACCC